rnacentral:rRNA from 1 species
GAUGAACGCUAGCGACAGGCUUAACACAUGCAAGUCGAGGGGCAGCGGGGUGUAGCAAUACACCGCCGGCGACCGGCGCACGGGUGAGUAACGCGUAUGCAACUUGCCUAUCAGAGGGGGAUAACCCGGCGAAAGUCGGACUAAUACCGCAUGAAGCAGGGGCCCCGCAUGGGGAUAUUUGCUAAAGAUUCAUCGCUGAUAGAUAGGCAUGCGUUCCAUUAGGCAGUUGGCGGGGUAACGGCCCACCAAACCGACGAUGGAUAGGGGUUCUGAGAGGAAGGUCCCCCACAUUGGUACUGAGACACGGACCAAACUCCUACGGGAGGCAGCAGUGAGGAAUAUUGGUCAAUGGGCGCGAGCCUGAACCAGCCAAGUCGCGUGAGGGAUGAAGGUUCUAUGGAUCGUAAACCUCUUUUAUAAGGGAAUAAAGUGCGGGACGUGUCCCGUUUUGUAUGUACCUUAUGAAUAAGGAUCGGCUAACUCCGUGCCAGCAGCCGCGGUAAUACGGAGGAUCCGAGCGUUAUCCGGAUUUAUUGGGUUUAAAGGGUGCGUAGGCGGCCUUUUAAGUCAGCGGUGAAAGUCUGUGGCUCAACCAUAGAAUUGCCGUUGAAACUGGGGGGCUUGAGUAUGUUUGAGGCAGGCGGAAUGCGUGGUGUAGCGGUGAAAUGCUUAGAUAUCACGCAGAACCCCGAUUGCGAAGGCAGCCUGCCAAGCCAUGACUGACGCUGAUGCACGAAAGCGUGGGGAUCAAACAGGAUUAGAUACCCUGGUAGUCCACGCAGUAAACGAUGAUCACUAGCUGUUUGCGAUACAGUGUAAGCGGCACAGCGAAAGCGUUAAGUGAUCCACCUGGGGAGUACGCCGGCAACGGUGAAACUCAAAGGAAUUGACGGGGGCCCGCACAAGCGGAGGAACAUGUGGUUUAAUUCGAUGAUACGCGAGGAACCUUACCCGGGUUUGAACGCAUUCGGACCGAGGUGGAAACACCUUUUCUAGCAAUAGCCGUUUGCGAGGUGCUGCAUGGUUGUCGUCAGCUCGUGCCGUGAGGUGUCGGCUUAAGUGCCAUAACGAGCGCAACCCUUGCCACUAGUUACUAACAGGUGAUGCUGAGGACUCUGGUGGGACUGCCAGCGUAAGCUGCGAGGAAGGCGGGGAUGACGUCAAAUCAGCACGGCCCUUACAUCCGGGGCGACACACGUGUUACAAUGGCGUGGACAAAGGGAGGCCACCUGGCGACAGGGAGCGAAUCCCCAAACCACGUCUCAGUUCGGAUCGGAGUCUGCAACCCGACUCCGUGAAGCUGGAUUCGCUAGUAAUCGCGCAUCAGCCAUGGCGCGGUGAAUACGUUCCCGGGCCU